UUAUGGCGAUAAUUGGAAGACCAGUUAUUUUCAGAGUGACUACAAGAAAAGAAAAAAAGGUGUCUCUUAGGAGAGAAAACAAGAAGUUGACAGAAAUAACAAAUAUCAGAUUCUUCAGCUCACUCACUGCGGACCCAAUCUCCUGGUGACCACAACAACCUCUGGGUGUAAAUUCAGCUGUCAGCAGUGUUUUCACAACCAUUUUGUAAAAUUAGAGCAUUGUCCAAAAAAUAAAUUAAAUUCAGGAGAAAUGGGAAAACCAAAACUUGACAUGAUCCAUCCAGAUAAUCGGUUCCAGAUGUAUCUCCACUGCCAGAUCUAUAUUCAAAGGUCUGAAAAAUGUUAUAAGUAAAGUGUAAUGGGAGUAAAGGAAAGUUUGCUUGUAGCAACAGCAGCAGCAACAGCAACAAUGAAGUACGACUAUUUACUACUACCCUUUACCAGACAUACACUUUACCAGAUCAGAAGCCAGUGCUGUGAAUCUUUCAGCUGAUGAAUCCUGCUUUUGAGGUUCCCAGCCUCCUCUGCCUAAGCUUCCUUGGUAUCACAAGUGCCUCCUGCUGAUUUACCUGCUGAACUUCUCUGAAAAAACAACAACAACAACAACAACAACCACCUCUUCCGUGUAUCAUGAACACAUUUAUAAUUCCAGAGAAACUGAAUCUAAGAAACUAAAUCUAUUCACAGGAAUGUGAAUAAGAAUCCAAAGUGGAAAGAAGAUAAAUGCCAGGUAAAAUAUAUCAAUGGAGACUUGUCUCCUAUGAAUGUCCCCAGCCUGGCCUGUUUUUUUUUGGGGGGGGCAGUAAUUGUGCUUAUUCUGAAACUAAAACUCAAAUUUGGAAGGUUUUACCUGCACAUGAAUGACGACAAAAACUUACCUCAUCCUUCAAAAGAACUUCACCUGGUUAUUUCUAGGAGUUCCUGGAGCUGACUUGUAUGUGAAUUAUAACUGUUCACAUUCUGUCAGUUCAGUUUUCUCUUUGAAAGUCAAGUGUCCUCAUGACACCUGAGGAAGGCUGCAGGACACCAGGCCUCUCCUGAAAAAUCAAGACAGUGUACCACACCGCCUUCUUCUGAAUAACUUCUUUAAUAACACAUAAAAACAUGUUCCAUGGCUAAAAGUAGGCUUGACGAUUUCAAUCAAUAUCAAGAGUCCCUUCUACAUA